GCCUGGCCAAUCAAGGUUCCGGACCAGAUUCCAAACGAUGAUUUUGGAUCAGAGAAUCGCCGGGGUGUCGUAUUCGCAAGGCGUGCCGGUUCGAUUCCGGCCCUGGGCACCA
rnacentral:tRNA from 1 species